UACGAAGGGGGCUAGCGUUGUUCGGAAUUACUGGGCGUAAAGGGCGCGUAGGCGGCGUGUCAAGUCAGGCGUGAAAGCCCCGGGCUCAACCUGGGAACCGCGCUUGAGACUGGCAUGCUCGAGUUCGGGAGAGGAUGGUGGAAUUCCCAGUGUAGAGGUGAAAUUCGUAGAUAUUGGGAAGAACACCGAUGGCGAAGGCAGCCAUCUGGACCGACACUGACGCUGAGGCGCGAAAGCGUGGGGAGCGAACGGG
rnacentral:rRNA from 1 species